AAGCAAUUUGCUCAUAGCCAUAGCUUUCUUGUGAAAGUAGGAUAUUAACCCAGGUGUCUUGGUGCUGGAGAACAGAACUGGCCAGAGUCCAUCCUGUCUCCCACCGGCAUCCCAUUACGAAAUGAACACAGAAAAGGCAGGUCUGCAAUGCCAACAUCUAGUAUCUAUCCCAAAGACCAGGGAGAAAGGAAGGAAAGAUUCUGGUUCUGUCCUCUUCCCCAAGGCAAGGCUGGCUGCCCUACCAACAGAGGCAAAGAGAAGAGUGUGCAAGGCUGGCUGCCCUCCCAACAGAGGCAAAGAGGAGUGUGUGUUGAAAUAUCCAUUGAAUCCCUGAGACAACUGGAUCCUGGCCCAUUGAAUCAUAAACUCAGCAGAAUCUCACAUCAUAACCCCAAAUGACCUGUUACUCACCAUGUGGCCCAGCUGUCUUCAAACUCACCAGCCUCCUGCCUUAGCCUUCUAAAUGCUUGGAUUACAGGCAUGACCCACCAUAACUGGCUUUGUUUUAGUUUCAGAGAAGAUGAAACUGAUGUGCGUCAAAAAGUAAACUACCCACAUUUUAACUGGGCACAUUCCUGUCAAUCUGAUGAGAAUCUAUUUCAUACCCUGCUUUAGCUGGUAGUCUGUCAAGGAAAUGAGCUGAACAUGUCUGUGUACAGCUUUUGUGCCAUCCCUGGAUGAGCGAGCUGUCUGCCUCUAUGUUCUCCACAAAAUGGAAUAUAGCUGUACACCCAAGCCAAGUUAUGGAGGCUGGGAAGACCUAGAAUGUGGCAUCACUAUUUGCUGAAAUUUUUAAUAUAAUGCCUCUUAGCCUGGUUUGGAGAAAACGUCACAGAGAGGCACCAUUUGUUGUGGUUUUACAUGAAAAUUUUCUGACCCUGAACCUGGUUUGAUGGAAAUCAUUUGCUGAGGAAACCAUGCCGAUUACCGACCGAGCUCUCAAUGGAAAAAUGCAGUCGGCGUGAACCACGCACGAACACAGCAGAGAAAGAAGAAAACACACACCACGAGGAACCCUAAUAGGACAAUACAUUAUAAGUCACAGUGCUACGGAGAAACCCAGUAGCCACAUGGAAGCAGAGACCAUGCAUAUGCAUCUACUCCGCAGCUCUGUGAAUGUCAGCAGCUCCCACGGACUGGAGAUCCCGUGAGAUCCCGUGAGAUCUCACCCAUAGCCUCAUGGUACAUCCACUUGGUGUGCUGGGAGAGUCAGGAUGAGGACCUGAGAAGAACAGCAGCUUGAACCUGACUUCAUUUAACAGCCCACUGCCCUCUUGCCAAGAACCCAUCACAGACCUUCCCAGAAGAGAGGGAUGAGCCUCACCUAUGAAUAAGUCCUCAGAAACUCAAAUUUGAUUCUAAUGGAUUGUUUUCUCAGAAAGACUGAGCAUGUCCCCCCACAUCUCUGUCAUUUCCCACAGUAGUAACCUCUGCAGAUGCCACAUAGAAAACAAAACAAAACAAAAAAACAUGAGGUUGGUGGGCAGAUAGGCAGGGUAUAAACAAACAGCCUUGUAACCCAGAAGCUGUGUGAUAUACAGUAAACUUCACAACACUGAAAAGAUGUCCUAUCUGUUAAAAUGGGGUAAUAACAACUACCCGAAUGUUUAGGAAUAGAACUUCAAUAAAUGAUACAUUUUAUAGUACAGCAGACCAUCCUGUAAAGGUUUCAUCCUUCACUGUGGUGAUAAAUAUCCCAAACCACAUUGAAAAGCAUUGCAUCUACAUUUAUCUACACUGUAACUGUACUGUAAAUCAUGGGGGAGGGGAGAAUCAUAAAAACACCACCUGUCACCGUGUCAUUAAAGCAAGUUGGAAGUGAUACUUACAGAAACACAGCAAGAGCACCCCCAGUCACACAGUUCAAUCUCUUAGCAAGCGUUUUCUUUCUAGCCCAGUGGUUCUCAGUUUGGAAUUUUUGGCACUGCCUAGAGAUAGUUUUGUUGUUAAAACUGAGAAAAGAGCCGGGCGUGGUGGCACACGCCUUUAAUCCCAGCACUCAGGAGGCAGAGGCAGG
rnacentral:lncRNA from 1 species